GCUGAUUCACACUUCACAUUUUAAAGCACAUCAUUUGGAACACUGAACAGGAACACAAUGUUAAUGGCCAAAGACACUGACCACUAGAAGGGAAAUCAUUAACCAGAGUCAUCUUAUCAGGACAAAGAUCAAAGGGUUAUAUCCAAAUGGCAAAAAUACUGGAAACCCUGAGAUGUGACUUCAACAGGCACCUGCCAGAAGGAAGGUUAAUCCUUCAGGUACACAGAGUGUUUGACAUGGAGAGAGAGGGAGAGGGAGAAAAAGGGUAAGGGAGAGGCAUCAGAAGGAAACGGGAAAGUGCUGCAGGUUCCCUGCUGGUGUGGAGUCAGGCUCAGCCGGAUGACCACCAAAAGCGUGCUGUCCUCACCAGAUGACCAUCUGCACCGUGCUUCUUCACAGUUGCGUGGACCAUGGCUGUUGGCUGCUCUGAAUAGUUUUGUCUUCGAUAGAUCCGUUGUCCCAGCUCUAUCAGUUUUAUCUUCUCUCCUGCAUCAUGAAUCGGUUCAGAGUCACUAAUUCUUGAUUUAGUGCAGCACAGGGAAUGUGGGGAGGAUAAAUUGGGGUCAGGGUAAAUGGGUGGUUGAUGAUUGGUGCGGACUUGGUGGUACACCACGGGCACAUCCCUCCCCACCAUCGGUAGUAUCUACAUGAGGCCUCAAGAAGGCAACAUCCAUCAUCAAGGAUCCCCACCAUCCGGGCCGUGCCAUCUUCUCACAGCUCCCAUCGGGCAGGAGGUACAGAAGCCUGAAGUCCCCACACCACCAGGUUCAGGAACAGCUACUUCCCUUCAACCAUUCAGUUCUUGCACCAACCGGCACAACCCUAAUCACUGCAGUUUAGCAACACUAUGACCACUCUGAUCACUUUGCACUAAAAUGGACUUUGUAUUAUUUUGUUCUAAUUGUGUUCUUUCUUAUAAACAUUGUGUUUAAUUUAUGCUUUUCUUGAAUGCUGCUUAUCUGAUGCUCUGUGCCUGUGAUGUUGCUGCAAGUUAGCUUUUCAUUGCACCUGUGCAUAAGAUGACAAUGAUAUUGCAGAUGACAAUAAACUGGACUUUGACUUUGAA